GGGGCUGUAGCUUAGUGGUAGAGCACUUGCCUUGCAUGUGUGAAGCACUGGGUUCAAUCCUUAGCACCA
rnacentral:tRNA from 1 species